rnacentral:rRNA from 1 species
UACGGAGGGAGCUAGCGUUGUUCGGAAUUACUGGGCGUAAAGCGCACGUAGGCGGCUUUGUAAGUUAGAGGUGAAAGCCCGGGGCUCAACCCCGGAAUUGCCUUUAAGACUGCAUCGCUUGAAUCCGGGAGAGGUGAGUGGAAUUCCGAGUGUAGAGGUGAAAAUUCGUAAGAUAUUCGGAAGAACACCAGUGGCGAAGGCGGCUCACUGG